rnacentral:rRNA from 1 species
UACAGAGGUCUCAAGCGUUGUUCGGAUUCAUUGGGCGUAAAGGGUGCGUAGGCGGCUUUUCAAGUCAGGCGUGAAAGCCCCAGGCUUAACCUGGGAACUGCGUUUGAUACUGUUAAGCUAGAGUGUGGAAGGGGCUACUGGAAUUCCGUGUGUAGCGGGUGAAAUGCGUAGAUAUACGGAGGAACACCAGCGGCGAAGGCGGGUAGCUGGGCCAACACGUGACGCUGAUGCGCGAAAGCUAGGGUAGCAAACGGG